UGGAGGCCAGGGGUGGGUAAUGGCUUGGGCGCCUGGAGGCAGGUCUCUGAGAGGAAGCACUGGGGCAGUUGUCCAAGAGCGCAGGCUGUCUACAGGGUGCUUUCCGUGGGCUUGUUGAAGGCACUUAGCAACACAGAAAUAAGCCUAAACACUAUUUGAAAAACCCCCAAAUCUGUGACCCCUCCCUACCAGCUCCACUAGAGAGUUCCAUGGCCGUCACACAGGUCGGUACCCGUGCAGGGGCUCUGGGGUGGGUACAGUGUCUCUGCUCCUUCCAGGUUACUUCCAGAAACAGGCGCUUCCUCGUGAACAGCUGGAACUGUUCUCCAGUGCUGCAGGAAAAUGGCUCGCAGUAUUUUAUGGUUAUUAACCUCCUGUUAUUAAGUUCUCAAUACGGUGGUGCAGCCCGGGCUGUGAUUUCUUACUUGUGAAUAUUAAGUGUUGUUCUUAUUGAGAACAUAACUUUCCUUUUAUGAACAGGAUGAAGUCUCACGUCUUGAGCAGCUGGGGUGAGAGUGGCAUUCGGGGGCCUCUGCAUGACGGCAUGACUGGUGACAUAUGGAGGGGUGGGGGCCUCUAGGAGGCCGGCCAUCCACAGGGCUGCCGGGGCUCCCUUGAGGUGGAUGCGGUGAGGCGCGAACGGAGCGGGUAGAAAUGAGACGGCGCAAUGGCGGAAAGCAAAGCAGAAAUGGCGUGACAGCCACAUGUGCGGGGCCGGGGAAGUGGAGGCUGGCUGCUCCUCACGGGCACUCGGGUGAGGCUCUCUCCACCUCGCGCAGGGGCUACCCGCUCGCCGUGCUGAGCCCUUCCAGCUCUGCCACGCGCAGGAAGCCGGUGCGGUGACGGCAGCGCACGCUCCCAGGCACCUGCCUUUGCCCACGCCGGGGAGGCGCUUCCUGUGAGUCAGGACUCGGGGAUCGCGUGGGGGUGAACUGCCUGCGAAUGCUCCUGGGCAGGAGAGCCACUCCCAGUCC
rnacentral:lncRNA from 1 species